UAUGGGAAAAUCCUAUUAGAUUUUUCUCGAGGGAACCAGUGUGGCGCUAACUUCCGGGUUCCGGUACAAAAUGACGUCAUCCCUGCACCACUUUAUAAGACUCGCCUCUGUACGACGUUCACCUUAUGGAUAUAACGGAAUGUGGGCGUGGCUUCGUCUAGCCUGGAUGCGAAAGGGCAGGGCUUAACGACCGACUGAUGGAACGCUUGUCCAAUCAGCGAGCGGCAGCGUCAUGACGUCACGAUGAAGGUCAUCCCGGAAGUGGAAUUUAGUAACUAUCAGGAGCUGAAAUGGCGUAGCUUGUCUCUGUCGGCGAUGGACAACGGGCCUGGAUAAAGCGGACAAACCUGGCCACGAACCGCGCGGAGAUGGAGUUUAACCCAUGUCCUUUAUCAUCACACUGAAAAGCUAGUCAAGAAGAGACGCGAAGUCGUCCUGCCGCCUGGUAAGACGAAGAGUUCGACAUGCGUGAGCGUGAGACUACGGGGAAAGCGCCCACAGAUGAGAAGUGGGUCAGCAGCAUGCCGAAGCCUGUCCUACGCUCGCUUCCUUCAGAUCUGCUAAACAUCAUGCCCGGGUAGCAGUUCACGCACCAUCCAUCCAGGAGGAUGACAUCAUCGGUGGAGUCCAGGCCACUUUUAUUUCCUCUCAAGUUUUAAUUUAGUUGUUUUCCCCUCUUUUUCAUCCCAGGAGAAUGCUGAAUUGUUUACUUCACUAUUCCCUCCCCCACCCCACCCCUCCAAAACAACUAUAUCCAGUCAGCUAUAUAUUUAAACGCAUCCUGAUCGUGCUCGCUGACAUGGUAUUCAAGUCAUAUUGUUUCAUUUGUAUAUUGCUUAUAACAUUACAUAUAGUCACGAAGAAGCUUUACCUAGAUGAAAUCAUUCACGUUACAUACGAAGUCGUACAGUAUUGAAAAACGGAAAUCUCUGGACGUUUUCCUCGAAGCUUACAGAAUUUAGGAGGGAUGUAUAGUCUGGGUUAUAAUCCUAGAAGCUUUGGGAUUACGUUUAAGGAAGGUCAUCGUUUGCCUGUCGAAUAUUUUACGCACCGGCUCGUUGCGGCGAUGGACUUGGAACUCGCUCGAUUUCAGUGUUGGGUCGAUGGCCCGCGUUCACGCGCGAAGAUUUUCACCAGUCCGAAGGAAUUAGUUCGGAUCAUUCCGUUUAUAAACCGUAACAGAGCGGAGAAAAACAUGGUCCGAGUGCGACUGCUAGACGUCGCUCAGCGUUUCGUAUUUGCCCCGAGAUUCAGGAGCUCUGGUUGUUGGAAAAAAUAAUAAGAACAAUAAGAGGAAUAUCAAUAAUAAAACGCGGUACAAUGCCUUCAGUUUUUAUGAAUAACUGCACAAGAAAUGUAGGUUUUAUCAGUUUUACCCUGAAUUUGGAUAGAAGUGUCAUUCCGAUUGGCCUCGGUCGGUUUACCCGGUUGUAACGGAGCUCUCGGUCGGAUUAUUGACAGAUUAUUGGGCUGCAUGUAAACAUAGCCAUUUAUGAUGGAAAUCACAGAUUUAUUUACAUUUAUUCCAUUUCCUUUUUUUCCUCGCAAGAAGUUUUGGAAGUGUGUGUGUGUGUGUGUGUGUGUGUGUGUGUGUUUGAACUGUAGUGAUGAAAACCUAGGUUGUAUUAACCGUAACACAGGAGCUAUGUUUCCAUCCAAGUUGCGAAUUGAACUUGUGCGAAAAAAUCGGAACAUCGCGUAAACAUGUGCGAAUAAAGCACGUGUUCAGGAGAACAAAAUCGUCACUUCCGGGUGCGUCUCGUUCCCCGCCGCUUUCGCUCUCCUGAGCCGAUUAUCCAAUCACGUGAAUUGUUGAGGCAAAGUCACAUGACUUAAAAAAAAUAUAUAUAUAUAUAUUUAUUUUUGAUGUGCAUCGAGGAAUUCAUUCUGCUUCUAUUGAGGCCAAAAUGUUUGUUUUAUGUGCAUUUUGGGGAUUUUUAAAAAUGUAUUUAUGCGAUAUACUAAAAUUUGUAGAUGGUAACAUAGCUAAUGAUUGUUCAAUGGUAGUGCGAGCAUCACAUCGAACACACUUUCAUUCUCUCUUUCUCUGUCAUGAAACCGGAUCCACGCGGUUUGAAGGUAAAUGGCGUCUACAGACGUGGGCUGUGUGCAAUACGGUUGUCCGUCCUUUUUUUUUAUUAUUAUUAUUAUUAUUAUUAUUUCGGUGUGCGUCCUGUUUCGAGGUAAACAUGUAUAUUGUACAAACAAGUGACGAGUUGUUCGUGCGACAAACAACAAAAUCACCAAUGUCUUCCAUUAAAUGAUGUAUAGUUUCAUCCGCUUGUUAGGUAGCGGGAUCUGUCGUGCCAAUGUUAUAUGUGGCCAUGCAUGAGCGGACUCGAUGCUUGCGGAGUAGUUGUAGUGAAGUAUAUUAACGUUAACGCGUAUUAGCUAAUAGUUGAGCAGGUGACGGUUAGGCUAAUUAGCACUGUGUAGCUUUGAGAAUAGUGAGCUUUGGAGAAAACCCAUUUUGUUUUUGUUUUUUUCCGUUCUUGUCUUUGGAAAUUAGUCUAAUCUGAUCGUUUUCUUCUACUAGCGAAAAAUAUGACCUCUUUGGUGUAAAAAAGAAAAAAGAAGAAGCUAGUUCCCCCACCCCCUUGUUGAACCUUGUAUUUUUUUUUUUCUAUUAAUAAAAAAAAAAAAGUCGUUGGAAUUAUAUUUAAGAUAAAAUCAGAGCCUAAAGAGGACAAAUCACCUUCGACUGUUUUUAAACUUAUCGUUCUUAAUCUUCGCUAGCUAGCACAGGACGACCUGACUAGCGACUAGCUAACUCGGUUGCCUCAGUGCUCACGGCUGUAAAUUAGGAGCGGGUGAAGAAAAAUAAAAAAUGGUAGUAAUACAGGAAUUAAAAAAUUUAGAGUGGAUUUAAGGUAGCAUUGUCUUUCCUACGCGGUCGUGGAUGCGUCAGAGGGGUUAGCUUGGCUAGCUUUAACGUAGCACACACACACGAUCAAUUUUAGUCAGCGUGUAGUUUAGUCAGCUAGCGUCUAGCGCCGAUGUAGAUAGUUAAAUACCUCAGUGACCGGAAUGCAAAGUCUAUUUUUUUUUUUUUUGGAUUCCAUUGACAAAUAUGCAAGCCAUACUGCGCAUUAAGUUAGAUAUUUUAACGCGAGGUUCGAGCCGUGCCGAAAACAUGACGACGCCGCGUCGUUUAGUCGGAGCGUUCGGACAGUCGCGUGUGCAGUGGUCUUCGUUUUUGCUGUCGUUUCAACCGGAGGUGGAGCAACGGGACAGACGAACCCAGUCAUGUGCAAAGUCUCGAUAUAAAGCGAUAAAGUUUGCUAGAACGAAUCAUAACUAAGCGUCAUACCCGAUCGUUAUAUAUAUAUAUAGUAUGUUAUUAGCAUACAGCUACACCUCUGGAGCUUUUGCUUAAUCAUUAAUGAAUUUAUGAUUUGUCCACCCGUGUUGCCAGGUCAUCGUAUUCCACACACGAUUAGGCUUAACUGGUUUUGGUAACAAUUUUACUAUGACAGACUGACCACUGAUUCAGAACCGAAAGUCCCACUGUGCCAAGAAAAGGGGGUGUGGCCUAUGUCGUGUCAUUGCACCACUCGUUGUAGCUCCGUAUACUGGUCCAGAUGGUAUCGUAGCGAACGUCAGUUGUCGCGUCCCGUCGGGAGGAACAGGACCACAGAGAGAACGAGAAAAGCAACGCCGACACGGUCGCAACUCACUUUUCAACUUCCCACUGUGUGGUGUGUUCUGUUCGAGUCAAAAUGACCUGAAACGUACUUUUUACAAAAAUAAAUAGGUAAAGGAAUACGUUUACUUUUUGGUGCAUCUACUAACCCUUUAUAUUUAUAUCACACCAGUUAUAGUCCAGUCAUUUUAAUUGGAUAUUUACAGAAAUAAAACAUCCUCCACGUCUAAUUUGCGAUCGUUCGGUAUGGCCGAGCAGCGAGUGCUCUGAACGUUUUUGGCACGGACGGACCCUCGUCAUUUAGAAGCAAUAAUCUUAUUAUGCAUGAACUCUAUAGUGCCAGAAUGGUGUUUCGUGGAAUGACCUGUAGCAUAUUUCUAGCCGUGGUGUGUGUGUGUGUGUGUGUGUGUGUGUGUGUGUGUGUGUGUGUGUGUGUGUGUGUGUGUGUGUGUGUGUGUUAAGCCAUCAGUGGCUGUUGGUUUAUUACUAAAGCAAACUGGGUUCUCCAGGAGGCCAAAACUGAGCUCACGUGUUCAUUAAAAACCAAAAACGUUGUACGGGAACGUCGUCAUGAGAGAAAAAUGGCUGAGAACGUACUUCUUUAUGCACACUGCAUGAUUUUCUAUCACUACAUCAGCAGAAAACGCACAGAUCCCGAUUAUGCAGUCGGAAAGCAAUAGGAGAGAGGUGACGGUGACGCGGACGGCUCAUUUCAGACGCUACGGUACACUCUUCACACACACUGAACAUCGUUUAUCCAGUGAGCCUGUCGGUGUUUCUAUAUGGGAAUGUAGGGGGAGGGAUAAAUUAGCUACUGCAUGGUAGAAGUGGGUACCACGUGUGUUGUGCUGCAUGCAAUAAUGAAGCUUUUGCUCGGAGAAAAUAUAACGCAAAAAUGUGAAGUCAAGCGAGUGGACUGAUUGUGUUUGAUUUUUCCCUCAGCUCUGUUUAAAAAAAAAAAAAAAAAAAAAAAAACAGGUUGUGUAUCUAUACCCCCUGACCCCCCCCCCCUCCACACACACACUCAUCUGACUUGCUUUAUUAUAACCCAUUCUGUAUGUAACUUUUCUUUUUAUUUUGAAAUACAUCUCGUCCAGAGGGAUCUGCAGUAUUAUCUGUACAAACCCGUGACCUGAUGAUGGGAAUGAUCCUAAAGGAGGUGGACACUAAUAAAAUAAUUUCGUACAAGCUUGCUGCUAUACUCGGCUGAUGGAAAUAAAAGCAAAUUACAAAAAUGUACGCGCACAAUAAAUAAAUUAAUAAAUAAAUAAAUCACGCCCUCCGGUAUUAGCUUUAUGCAUAAAAUCCAGGCGGAAGGGUGAAAGCUCAGUGCCGAUCGGUUACCCGGUCUUCGCUAACAUCCAACCCGUGCGUUAUUUUAAGUGUUCAAACGGAUCACGUGACGACAGUAGACGCGUGACCUCGACGGGGUUAAAUUGUUAUUUCCAACUGGAAUCUAAUCCCCUGACUGCCAUGUCACAAUUUUGAACAAAGUUCUAUUGUUUUCUUCCCCAGCAUGUUGUAUUUUUUUUUUUUUGUGACAGGAUGGGAACACUGUACAGUAUGUUUGGUUAAAUCUAUGCACUACCGAUGCGCUAAGCAUGCUAAGAUAAACCUCUUGAUUUUGUACAAUUUAAAAAAAAGAAAUCUGUAUAUGAAAUUUAGCAAUAAAAACAGCAUGGUGCCAAUCUUA